rnacentral:rRNA from 1 species
GGGUUGUGAGGUUAAGCGACUAAGCGUACACGGUGGAUGCCCUGGCAGUCAGAGGCGAUGAAGGGCGUGCUAAUCUGCGAUAAGCGCCGGUAAGGUGAUAUGAACCGUUAUAACCGGCGAUACCCGAAUGGGGAAACCCAGUGUGAUUCGUCACACUAUCAUUAACUGAAUCCAUAGGUUAAUGAGGCGAACCGGGGGAACUGAAACAUCUAAGUACCCCGAGGAAAAGAAAUCAACCGAGAUUCCCCCAGUAGCGGCGAGCGAACGGGGAGGAGCCCAGAGCCUGAAUCAGCAUGUGUGUUAGUGGAAGCGUCUGGAAAGGCGCGCGAUACAGGGUGACAGCCCCGUACACAAAAGCGCAUGUGCUGUGAGCUCGAUGAGUAGGGCGGGACACGUGGUAUCCUGUCUGAAUAUGGGGGGACCAUCCUCCAAGGCUAAAUACUCCUGACUGACCGAUAGUGAACCAGUACCGUGAGGGAAAGGCGAAAAGAACCCCGGCGAGGGGAGUGAAAAAGAACCUGAAACCGUGUACGUACAAGCAGUGGGAGCACAGGUUUACCUGUGUGACUGCGUACCUUUUGUAUAAUGGGUCAGCGACUUAUAUUCUGUAGCAAGGUUAACCGAAUAGGGGAGCCGGAGGGAAACCGAGUCUUAAUUGGGCGUUAAGUUGCAGGGUAUAGACCCGAAACCCGGUGAUCUAGCCAUGGGCAGGUUGAAGGUUGGGUAACACUAACUGGAGGACCGAACCGACUAAUGUUGAAAAAUUAGCGGAUGACCUGUGGCUGGGGGUGAAAGGCCAAUCAAACCGGGAGAUAGCUGGUUCUCCCCGAAAGCUAUUUAGGUAGCGCCUCGUGAAUUCAUCUCCGGGGGUAGAGCACUGUUUCGGCUAGGGGGCCAUCCCGGCUUACCAACCCGAUGCAAACUGCGAAUACCGGAGAAUGUUAUCACGGGAGACACACGGCGGGUGCUAACGUCCGUCGUGAAGAGGGAAACAACCCAGACCGCCAGCUAAGGUCCCAAAGUCAUGGUUAAGUGGGAAACGAUGUGGGAAGGCCCAGACAGCCAGGAUGUUGGCUUAGAAGCAGCCAUCAUUUAAAGAAAGCGUAAUAGCUCACUGGUCGAGUCGGCCUGCGCGGAAGAUGUAACGGGGCUAAACCAUGCACCGAAGCUGCGGCAGCGACACUGUGUGUUGUUGGGUAGGGGAGCGUUCUGUAAGCCUGUGAAGGUGUGUCGUGAGGCAUGCUGGAGGUAUCAGAAGUGCGAAUGCUGACAUAAGUAACGAUAAAGCGGGUGAAAAGCCCGCUCGCCGGAAGACCAAGGGUUCCUGUCCAACGUUAAUCGGGGCAGGGUGAGUCGACCCCUAAGGCGAGGCCGAAAGGCGUAGUCGAUGGGAAACGGGUUAAUAUUCCCGUACUUGGUGUUACUGCGAAGGGGGGACGGAGAAGGCUAUGUUGGCCGGGCGACGGUUGUCCCGGUUUAAGCGUGUAGGUGUGUGUUCCAGGUAAAUCCGGUUCACUUUAACACUGAGGCGUGACGACGAGGCACUACGGUGCUGAAGCAACAAAUGCCCUGCUUCCAGGAAAAGCCUCUAAGCAUCAGGUAACAUCAAAUCGUACCCCAAACCGACACAGGUGGUCAGGUAGAGAAUACCAAGGCGCUUGAGAGAACUCGGGUGAAGGAACUAGGCAAAAUGGUGCCGUAACUUCGGGAGAAGGCACGCUGACACGUAGGUGAAGUGAUUUACUCAUGGAGCUGAAGUCAGUCGAAGAUACCAGCUGGCUGCAACUGUUUAUUAAAAACACAGCACUGUGCAAACACGAAAGUGGACGUAUACGGUGUGACGCCUGCCCGGUGCCGGAAGGUUAAUUGAUGGGGUCAGCGCAAGCGAAGCUCCUGAUCGAAGCCCCGGUAAACGGCGGCCGUAACUAUAACGGUCCUAAGGUAGCGAAAUUCCUUGUCGGGUAAGUUCCGACCUGCACGAAUGGCGUAAUGAUGGCGGGCUGUCUCCACCCGAGACUCAGUGAAAUUGAACUCGCUGUGAAGAUGCAGUGUACCCGCGGCAAGACGGAAAGACCCCGUGAACCUUUACUAUAGCUUGACACUGAACAUUGAGCCUUGAUGUGUAGGAUAGGUGGGAGGCUUUGAAGUGUGGACGCCAGUCUGCAUGGAGCCGACCUUGAAAUACCACCCUUUAAUGUUUGAUGUUCUAACGUGGACCCGUUACCCGGGUUGCGGACAGUGUCUGGUGGGUAGUUUGACUGGGGCGGUCUCCUCCUAAAGAGUAACGGAGGAGCACGAAGGUUGGCUAAUCCUGGUCGGACAUCAGGAGGUUAGUGCAAUGGCAUAAGCCAGCUUGACUGCGAGCGUGACGGCGCGAGCAGGUGCGAAAGCAGGUCAUAGUGAUCCGGUGGUUCUGAAUGGAAGGGCCAUCGCUCAACGGAUAAAAGGUACUCCGGGGAUAACAGGCUGAUACCGCCCAAGAGUUCAUAUCGACGGCGGUGUUUGGCACCUCGAUGUCGGCUCAUCACAUCCUGGGGCUGAAGUAGGUCCCAAGGGUAUGGCUGUUCGCCAUUUAAAGUGGUACGCGAGCUGGGUUUAGAACGUCGUGAGACAGUUCGGUCCCUAUCUGCCGUGGGCGCUGGAGAACUGAGGGGGGCUGCUCCUAGUACGAGAGGACCGGAGUGGACGCAUCACUGGUGUUCGGGUUGUCAUGCCAAUGGCACUGCCCGGUAGCUAAAUGCGGAAGAGAUAAGUGCUGAAAGCAUCUAAGCACGAAACUUGCCCCGAGAUGAGUUCUCCCUGAGACUUAGAGUCUCCUGAAGGAACGUUGAAGACGACGACGUUGAUAGGCCGGGUGUGUAAGCGCAGCGAUGCGUUGAGCUAACCGGUACUAAUGAACCGUGAGGCUUAACCUUACAACGCCGAAG